CUAUUUCCUUGCCUUCCUAGAAGCUCUCACUUGUUCCCUCCCACUCGGCCGGCAUUCUGUGGCAAAGUAAAAGAAAACGCUGAAAACUUGAACCUGCUUAUACUCGAGCUUCCUCGGCCUUCAAACGAGCUCACUUGUUUUCUUUCCCUACCCUUCCCCGCGUAUGUUUCUCGCACUCUUUCUUGCUCCUCGCCUUGUUCGUCUCUCUCCCUCUCUCUCUCUCUCUCUCUCUGGGCUGUGUGUAAGAGGAUCACUUUGUUUCCGUUGCCUUUUUCCGCGGUGCUGCAGACACACAUGGAGCAGAGGAUUGGAUUUGAGGAGAUACUGACGAAGUGCACAGCUGCAAUGGUCCCCUCCAUCUCCACACCAGGACUAAGCCCCCCCACCGACCCACCCCAGUGUGUGUGUGUGUGUGUCUGUGUUUGACUCUCUCCCUCUCUCUGUCGCACUCUCUGCUAUCCGGCUCUCCGUGGGGUGGGGGUUGCAAUAUAGUAACUCAGAAAAAUGGAAGUGGAUUGGAGAUAGACAAGAUAGGAAGCUUUCGUUCUUGGGCUCGGACGUCAGGAUCUGUGUGAAAAAUAAAUGGCCACCCUAGAGAACCCACUGGCCCAGCGACCCAUCCUCAGAGCAAGAUGCAGCCACGAUGGGAGCCCCGGCAAUUGUCUGCCAUUCUCCAUGCUUUAAGGUAAGACAGAUACCACUUGCAUCUGCAACACCAUCAACAAAAUCCUUACUUUUCUAGUCUUAUUCAGUCUGAUCCAUUAUGCCAGCAGACAGCAGCAGAUGAGAGUUUAGUUGUGUGACUGCCUUGUUUUGCUUGCAGUAGACGAGUGAGUCAGUAAAAGUGUCAGACCGCCGUAACAGACGGCCUGCGCGAGAUAAUUAGCCCGGAGUCAUUUGGAAGGCGCUCAGCUCUGCCCAGGUGCCCACUCUGCUCAGGAAGAGACCAGACGACCUUUUACUCAGCUCCGUCCCACUGCAGUCACUUAAAACAGUGAUGGAUGUUUCCCUUUACUCCCUGCUCCCUACCGGCUCUCAUUCUCCCUUCCUCUCCACCCGUCCCUCUCCCAUGUCACCAUUUCCCUCACUUCUGUCCUCUGCUUGCAGCGCCUUGUUUGUCCCUUCUCCUCUCCUUGUUUUUCUACCCUCGUCUGCCUCUUACAGCUCCCAUUCUCUCUGUUAUUCCAAAGUGAUGAGAGGGAAGAGGAGGAAGAAAGGUGUGGAGAAAAGGGGGAAGGGGGGGAUUUAAAGUGAAGUGGUGAAGGAGACUUUUUUUCCCCUGUCUUUUUUUUUUUUAAUCCUGCCAGUUUGAGAAGAGCAGACUCGAGCCCCGCGCCCCCUCGGCUCCUCAUUAGUAUGCACCGGCUGUUGCUCAGGUGACAUGGCCACUGGAUUCCAUCCCAACUGCAGGAACAUCAGCAGCACGGUGGAGAGUGGGAUAGCAGGUAAGGACAAUGAGAACGGAACUGCGUGGAGGAAAGGAGAAGACGAAGGUGGUGGGAUGGGGCAUGGACUUGUAUACACUGCUGUAAUCCAAAUCCAGCUUCUUUAUUAAUUAAAGCGUCUACAGCUGUGAGCUGAGCCGUGCAAGUUAAGUCAUCGUUUGCAAAGCACAUCCACGCAAUUUUCCUCGUUAAUGAAAUAUCCCGCACUUCUCUGUACACAGUUUGAACAAUUCAUGAAUUCACGAGCAUUAAAUGUAGAUGUUGGAGCGUCUGCUCUUUCUGCUGAUUUUAAUAAACACCUCUGCUGAUUA